rnacentral:lncRNA from 1 species
GUUGGGAUCAGGAAUUUCCAAGGCUGGGUUCUCCGCGUGGGUUCCGGAGCUCUGCGGCUCUGCCCGGCCCCGGGAGGUCCCGGCAGGGACGAAGGGCAGGGAGGUUCUCCUGGACACCGACUCGGAGAUGGACUGCACGAAAUAGUCGUAGACUUUGCCCCGCAGGCCAGGCCUGUCCCCGUCCUUGUCCCGGCGCUCCGGGAUGAAGUUUUCCUCCACCUGGAUCUUGGCCACCGAGGAGAAGCGGUAGGAGGUGUCCGAGCCCGCCUCGCUCGCCGUCAGCAGCAGCCCCAGGGGUGGAGCAUUCCCUGUUCCUGCCAUCCCAAAGAAUCCAUGGAUCCCUCUGGAAAAAUCCCCGUUUAUCGCUGUCUGCGGGAUGAGCGCUGACGUCUCGGAGCUUGUGACUCUAAUUGAGAAGCUAAUCAGAUCUCCUCGGAAGGUUGUCAGGAGCGGAUCUGUCAGCUCUCAUCAAUAAUGGAACAACCUGAGCCUCUCCUUCCCCCUCCAGCCUCCUCCUGCAUUAUUCACUGGCAGAGGGAUCGGGAAUGGGGGGAAGGAGCGGGGGAAAAAGGGGGGGAAAGGAGUGGAAAAGAUGGGGGAAAAAAGGGGGAAAGGG